rnacentral:rRNA from 1 species
AUACGUAGGUGGCAAGCGUUGUCCGGAAUUAUUGGGCGUAAAGCGCAUGUAGGCGGUGCCUUAAGUCUGUCGUGAAACUGCGGGGCCUAACCCCGUAUGGCGAUGGAAACUGUGGCACUUGAGUGCAGGAGAGGAAAGGGGAACUCCCAGUGUAGCGGUGAAAUGCGUAGAUAUUGGGAAGAACACCGGUGGCGAAGGCGCCUUUCUGGACUGUGUCUGACGCUGAGAGGCGAAAGCCAGGGUAGCGACCGGGAUUAGAUACCCCGGUAGUCCUGGCCGUAAACGAUGGGUACUAGGUGUGGGAGGUAUCGACCCCUUCCGUGCCGGAGUUAACGCAAUAAGUACCCCGCCUGGGGAGUACGGCCGCAAGGCUUAAACUCAAAUGAAUUGACGGGG